UUUCUCCUUUGAAGUUGAGUGAUCCAAACCACCGCGGCGACCAACCCCCUUCACUUAGAAAUUCGCUAAAAAUUCAAAUUGUCUUCAAAUCCAGCGAAACUUGUGCCCUUCAAAGUUCAGCUUACAAAUCUUGAUUCUCCCAAAAUUUCAAACUAAUCCAGUUAUCGGGCACUGAGAAAUGCCUUCCCAAACUCGAUUAAUCCAAACUGCGAAGGCAGUCGACCCCCUCACACUCAAAAUUUCACCAAAAAUUCAGUCCAACUCCAAAUGGAGCGAACCUUAUCUUGUUGGAAAGCUAACAACAAAAGCUACAACCAAAAAAAAAAAUCACGUUGGAACUAAAACAAUUGAAUGACUGAUGGAGGGAAAUAUGAGGCUCUUGAAACCCUUGGAGUAAUUGGGAGGCCAAGGGAGCUAUUCUCCACCACAAUGAAACGUGUUUUAAGACCCAAUGACUAUCAUUCAAAAUUCAAAAUCCAUGCACACCCACCCACAAAAUUCAAAAUGAGAUUUAAAAUCUAAAUGAAAUUAAAAUUAGGAUUUUUGGCCAAAUUUUAGCAUGGCUUUGUCCUUCACCAAAAGAGGAGAGAGAGAGGGCUUGGAAAACCAAGC
rnacentral:lncRNA from 1 species